GUCCCGUUAGCUCAGUUGGAUAGAGCGACCGCCUCCUAAGCGGUAGCCCGGAGGCAAAAACCCACUACGGGUCG
rnacentral:tRNA from 1 species